AUUGAACUCUGGCGGCAGGCCUAACACAUGCAAGUCGAACGGUAGCACAGAGAGCUUGCUCUCGGGUGACGAGUGGCGGACGGGUGAGUAAUGUCUGGGAAACUGCCCGAUGGAGGGGGAUAACUACUGGAAACGGUAGCUAAUACCGCAUAACGUCGCAAGACCAAAGUGGGGGACCUUCGGGCCUCACACCAUCGGAUGUGCCCAGAUGGGAUUAGCUAGUAGGUGGGGUAAUGGCUCACCUAGGCGACGAUCCCUAGCUGGUCUGAGAGGAGGACCAGCCACACUGGAACUGAGACACGGUCCAGACUCCUACGGGAGGCAGCAGUGGGGAAUAUUGCACAAUGGGCGCAAGCCUGAUGCAGCCAUGCCGCGUGUAUGAAGAAGGCCUUCGGGUUGUAAAGUACUUUCAGCGGGGAGGAAGGCGGUGGAGUUAAUAACUUCACCGAUUGACGUUACCCGCAGAAGAAGCACCGGCUAACUCCGUGCCAGCAGCCGCGGUAA
rnacentral:rRNA from 1 species